UCCCUGGUGGUCCAGUGGUUAGGACUCUGCACUGACAAUGCUGGGGGCAAAGGUUCAAUCCCCAGUCAGGGAU
rnacentral:tRNA from 1 species